rnacentral:lncRNA from 1 species
CCUCGAGACUACUCCUGGUGACAGAUCAAGAGGGGACCUCACCACAGGAAGCACCUAGAUGCAGCCGCGGGAAUCUUACCCACUACAGACAGCAUCGAUUCUCCCCGCACUCAAAACCCAAACGAACGCCCUACGCGGCACACGCACGCGCGCCGCCCCCUUCUCUGCACGCUCAGCCCGCGCCCCACGUGCAGCAGCAGCCCCACACUCAGGCUGCUACUCUCAGAGCCCAGCAAACACAUCCGGGUAAGACGCCUCGGGAUUGGUCUGGCGCCCAUACCACGCCAGCAGCUCAUUGGUCAGUGUGUCUCAUUUCUGGCACAUCAUUGGCUAGGACUCUCUAGCCCUGGGCCUGGAUCGUAGGCGUCGCGGGCUUUACCCAAGCCGAUUCGGGUGGGCGGGACUUCCUGCCAGAGUCCGGGCGGAAGAGGCCACUACCGAGAGCCGGGAGCCGGGAGCCGGGAGCCGGGAGCGGCUGCGCGCGUCGCCACAACGGCCUCUGAGAGGCUGCGCUCCAUGGCCGGCAGAGGGCGCACGGGCUUGGGGAGCCCUCCUAGUCACGGUGGGACUGUGGCUAAACUGCGCAGAAGCUGGAGGCUCAGGAAGAAAUCCCUCUUGUUCGGGAGGAUGGAAGCCUUGGUGCGCUUGUGCCUCUCUGUCGUCUCAGACCUGCACAGCCCGCUCUGUUCCCUUCCCCAUCUUCUCUCCCCGGACUUCCUUUAAUUCAGAGGGAAAGGACUACUUUUCUGCUCCAAAAUACGGGCCUUCGCUAUCAAUACUGUAACAAUGUAAAAUUUCAGGAGGAAAGACUACCAACUUUCUUAGGUGCCUCCUUUUCCCUCUACCUCGCCCCUCAAAACACGGUAUCCAUACUGAAGCUGUUCAUUUUGUUAUCGACUUCCUUAAAUUGUCAUGCUGAUGCCAGCUGUAAAGUUCUGGUUCAAGAACAGGCAAGCUACAGUGAAUUGCAAAAGAUUCAAGAACUACCAGGGAAUCCUGGCUGUGGGUCGCAUGAUAGACCUGCCUCCCCUAUAGGCUGUGUCCUUCUUGUCACAUCUGCCAGUACAGAUUCCCUGUGCCAGAGCCCUUCCAGAAUCAGCUGUACUCCUCAACUUAGGCUCUCCAGGAAUUCAUCUGACCAUGCAUCCAACUUAUCUAUCAUUGAUCAGGAGAAAUGCUUCAGGAGGAGCUCAGCUAGGAAGAGAUGGCAGAGGCAAAAGAGUAUAGAAAACCAAUUGGGAAAUAAGGCCACUAAUCGUGUGGUAGGUGUGGAAUUCCCAAAGAUUGUGUCCCUCUUGCUGGGUCAGAUAACUCACAAUCUGUGUGUGAGAGAGCCAUCCAUUUUCAGCAAGCCUCCUGUACUCAGCUUUUUGAAUAUUUCCCCAAACUCAGAAUCCAUCUUCUCCAUGCAUCAGAGAUGAUUGAUCACUUGUGAGCUUUCCUCAACUCAGCCACUUGAAUAACUCUCUAGACCAGAGACAGUUGGGGAUCUGUUCUCCUCCUCCAAUCAGUGCCUCCAUCAUUUCUCCAGACUCAGAAUCCAUCUUAUCCAUGAGUGAGAGCACAUCUAGUGUCAGCUCUCCUCCACCACUCAGCCUAAGUAUUUUCCCAGAACUGGAUUCCAUCCUCUCCAUUGAUGAGACCAAUGAGUGUCUCUUAUAUGAAGCCGUGAAGCUGGCCAUGCUCCCAACAGUGGGAGACAGAAUCCCGAGUCAGUCAGCACAUUGUGCAUCUUCUGCAAACCCAGCUCCAGUCCAAGAUGCAGACCCAACACAAGCUCCAGAAUCCAGCACAGCUUCAACAGCAGCUCCAGGGGCAAUGGGAAGAGGUGCGACAAAGAGGAAACAGUUUGAGAAAAAUAUUAUUGCAUGUGUUUUGUUCAGUGUGUAUUUGGUCGUAAGUCUGACAGCCCACAUGUUAUGUAAAAAGAAAACAUGAAAACUGAUUUGCCCAUUUUCCCAUGUAAACCAUGAAAAUAAAAGUAGGAUCCUCGGGCUUGGUGAUAAGGGA